rnacentral:rRNA from 1 species
AGAGCGAACGCUGGCGGCAUGCUUAACACAUGCAAGUCGCACGGGCAGGGGUAACUCUGUCAGUGGCGGACGGGUGAGUAACGCGUAGGUAUCUAUCCUCGGGUGGGGGACAACCACGGGAAACUGUGGCUAAUACCGCAUGAUGACUGAGGUCCAAAGGCGCAAGUCGCCUGGGGAGGAGCCUGCGUCCGAUUAGCUUGUUGGUGGGGUAAAGGCCUACCAAGGCUCCGAUCGGUAGCUGGUCUGAGAGGAUGAUCAGCCAGACUGGGACUGAGAACGGCCCAGACUCCUACGGGAGGCAGCAGUAGGGAAUUUUCCACAAUGGGCGAAAGCCUGAUGGAGCAACGCCGCGUGCAGGAUGAAGGCUUUCGGGUCGUAAACUGCUUUUAUCUGUGACGAUUAUGACGGUAGCAGAUGAAUAAGGAUCGGCUAACUCCGUGCCAGCAGCCGC